rnacentral:rRNA from 1 species
AGCGAACGCUGGCGGCAGGCUUAACACAUGCAAGUCGAGCGGGUGUAGCAAUACAUCAGCGGCAGACGGGUGAGUAACGCGUGGGAACGUACCUUUUGGUUCGGAACAACACAGGGAAACUUGUGCUAAUACCGGAUAAGCCCUUACGGGGAAAGAUUUAUCGCCGAAAGAUCGGCCCGCGUCUGAUUAGCUAGUUGGUAGGGUAACGGCCUACCAAGGCGACGAUCAGUAGCUGGUCUGAGAGGAUGAUCAGCCACAUUGGGACUGAGACACGGCCCAAACUCCUACGGGAGGCAGCAGUGGGGAAUAUGGGACAAUGGGGGCAACCCUGAUCCAGCCAUGCCGCGUGAGUGAUGAAGGCCCUAGGGUUGUAAAGCUCUUUUGUGCGGGAAGAUAAUGACGGUACCGCAAGAAUAGGCCCCGGCUAACUUCGUGCCAGCAGCCGCCGUAACAC